rnacentral:rRNA from 1 species
AUUGAACGCUGGCGGCAGGCCUAACACAUGCAAGUCGAACGAGUGGCGGACGGGUGAGUAAUGUCUGGGAAACUGCCUGAUUGAGCGGGAUAACUACUGGAAACGGUAGCUAAUACCGCUUACCCUCAGAUGUGCCCAGAUGGGUUUAGCUAGUUGGUGGGCUAACGGCUCACCAAGGCGCCGAUCCCUAGCUGGUCUGAGCGGAUGCCCGGCCACACUGGACCUUAGACACGGUCCAGACCCCACCGGGAGGCAGCAGUAGGGAAUAAUGGGCAAUGGGCGCAAGCCUGAUGCAGCCAUGCAGCGUGUAUGAAGAAGGUCUUCGGGUUGUAAAGCACUGUCAGUGGGGAGGCGUUACCCGCAGAAGAAGCAGCGGCUAACUACGUGUCAGCAGCCGCGGUAAGAC